rnacentral:rRNA from 1 species
AUGAACGCUGACGGCGUGCCUAAUACAUGCAAGUCGAGCGAACGGACGAGAAGCUUGCUUUUCUGAUGUUAGCGGCGGACGGGUGAGUAACACGUGGAUAACCUACCUAUAAGACUGGGAUAACUUCGGGAAACCGGAGCUAAUACCGGAUAAUAUUUUGAACCGCAUGGUUCAAAAGUGAAAGACGGUCUUGCUGUCACUUAUAGAUGGAUCCGCGCUGCAUUAGCUAGUUGGUAAGGUAACGGCUUACCAAGGCAACGAUGCAUAGCCGACCUGAGAGGGUGAUCGGCCACACUGGAACUGAGACACGGUCCAGACUCCUACGGGAGGCAGCAGUAGGGAAUCUUCCGCAAUGGGCGAAAGCCUGACGGAGCAACGCCGCGUGAGUGAUGAAGGUCUUCGGAUCGUAAAACUCUGUUAUUAGGGAAGAACAUAUGCGUAAGUAACUGUGCACAUCUUGACGGUACCUAAUCAGAAAGCCACGGCUAACUACGUG